rnacentral:lncRNA from 1 species
CCAACACUAUCUGACUAAUGCAAACACCCAGCAGUAUGAAAAAGAAAACAUAUAUGCAUACACGAAUCAUGACAAUCUCCACCGUAUAUAAUCAUGAAACCCAAAUCGACAAAAACCUUUGCAAUUAGCAAAUCGGUUGAAAUUCUCCAAUUCCUAUCAAUAUCAACAAGCAUCCCAAUUAGAUUAUUAUUAUUUUUUUAAAACUAAAGUACAGACUUUUUGAGAAAACUAAGAAACAGAAUGUCACAACUCACAACGAAUUAAAAAGACAUUUUAUUACCAUAUAGAAAAACUACCAAAUAAACUCUACGUGCGUCACAACUCCCACCGGGUUCCUAGAACCAAAAUCAAGCCAACACAACUCCCACCAGGUUCCUAGAACCAAAAUCAAGCCAACACAGNNN